GAAUAUUGGGCAAUGGACGCAAGUCUGACCCAGCCAUGCCGCGUGCAGGAUGAAGGCCUUCUGGGUUGUAAACUGCUUUUAUCUAGGAAGAAAAAACUCUUGCGAGAGGAACUGACGGUACCCAAUGAAUAAGCACCGGCUAACUCCGUGCCAGCAGCCGCGGUAAUACGGAGGGUGCAAGCGUUAUCCGGAUUCACUGGGUUUAAAGGGUGCGUAGGCGGCCCGGCAAGUCAGUGGUGAAAGCCCGCAGCUCAACUGCGGAAUUGCCAUUGAAACUGCCAGGCUUGAAUCUGGUUGAAGUGGGCGGAAUAUAUCAUGUAGCGGUGAAAUGCUUAGAUAUGAUGUAGAACACCGAUUGCGAAGGCAGCUCACUAAGCCAACAUUGACGCUGAGGCACGAAAGCGUGGGGAGC
rnacentral:rRNA from 1 species